rnacentral:rRNA from 1 species
UCCGUAGGUGAACCUGCGGAAGGAUCAUUACUGAGUGAGGGCCCUCUGGGUCCAACCUCCCACCCGUGUUUAUUAUACCUUGUUGCUUCGGCGGGCCCGCCGUAAGGCCGCCGGGGGGCUUCUGCCCCCGGGCCCGCGCCCGCCGAAGACAUCUCGAACUCUGUCUGAAGAUUGUAGUCUGAGUAUAAAUAUAAAUUAUUUAAAACUUUCAACAACGGAUCUCUUGGUUCCGGCAUCGAUGAAGAACGCAGCGAAAUGCGAUACGUAAUGUGAAUUGCAGAAUUCAGUGAAUCAUCGAGUCUUUGAACGCACAUUGCGCCCUCUGGUAUUCCGGAGGGCAUGCCUGUCCGAGCGUCAUUGCUGCCCUCAAGCACGGCUUGUGUGUUGGGCCCCGUCCUCCGAUCCCGGGGGACGGGCCCGAAAGGCAGCGGCGGCACCGCGUCCGGUCCUCGAGCGUAUGGGGCUUUGUCACCCGCUCUGUAGGCCCGGCCGGCGCUUGCCGAUCAACCAAAUUUUUAUCCAGGUUGACCUCGGAUCAGGUAGGGAUACCCGCUGAACUUAA